rnacentral:rRNA from 1 species
UGGCCUAAAAAAAUGCAAACCCGAGCGAAAGGGAUUAGGAGCUUGCUCUUUCCCAAGUUAGCGGCGGACGGGUGAGUAACACGUGGGUAACCUGCCCAUAAGACUGGGAUAACUCCGGGAAACCGGGGCUAAUACCGGAUAACAUUUUGAACCGCAUGGUUCGAAAUUGAAAGGCGGCUUCGGCUGUCACUUAUGGAUGGACCCGCGUCGCAUUAGCUAGUUGGUGAGGUAACGGCUCACCAAGGCAACGAUGCGGAUCCGACCUGAAAGGGUGAUCGGCCACACUGGGACUGAACACGGCCCUACUCCUACGGGAGGCAGCAAUAUGGAAUCUUCCGAAUGGACGAAAGUCUGACGGACAACGCCGCGUGAGUGAUAAGGCUUUCGGUCUAUAACUCUGUUGUUAGGAAAACAGUGCUAUAAUAACUGGCCCUUGCGGACCUAACCAACCACGCUACUACUGCCCCGAUCAGGGAACUAUCCAAUUU